rnacentral:lncRNA from 1 species
AGAUUGCCAGUCGAGAUGCGGCAAAGCAGAGGCAAACAGCUAGGCACAAAGCAAUAGAGUUGUAAACUUUGUUUUUUUUUGUUUUUUGUUUUUUUUUCCUGCUGCCGCCUAUACUGCCUCUCUCCCAUAGGAAGAACACUACCUCUGGGUAGCCAGGAGCUGAGAUGCAGUCUGAAUGUUCACGGUGGCUUCUGACGUGGCAGCGUGAAUUCUCAGCUGGGCAGUGCUGAGGAUUGAACCCAUGGCCUCGUUGCAUGUCAGGUGCUGGGAACAUUAAAUCUUCAUGUCUGGAGGACAAGAAAACUAAAAGUACUCAUUGUUCAGUAGCCACUGAGGCUGAUGGGAGGCGGGACUGUGGAUUCACGUGGCUGACGAUGACUGGUCUUCCUGGCCAUAUUACUUUCUCUUUCUUUUAUCAAGUACAGACAUGGCGCCUGCCUGGAGUGGUGGUAUGAGUGCCCAAUCUCAACGAAACAACCAAGGCCACCUGUUCCCAUUUUUUUUUAUUGCUGUUGUUACAUGUGUAUAUGUGACAUAUGUGCAUGUAUGUUCAUGUGUUUGUGGGUACACAUUGUAUGCCGGUGUGUGUGGAUAUGUCUCUACGUGGCCAUUGAAGAAAUUAAAACAGGAAGACUCGAUUGUUAUCGA